CUACGUGCCAGCAGCCGCGGUAAUACGGAAGGUCCAGGCGUUAUCCGGAUUUAUUGGGUUUAAAGGGAGCGUAGGCCGUGGAUUAAGCGUGUUGUGAAAUGUAGACGCUCAACGUCUGAAUUGCAGCGCGAACUGGUUCACUUGAGUAUGCACAACGUAGGCGGAAUUCGUCGUGUAGCGGUGAAAUGCUUAGAUAUGACGAAGAACUCCGAUUGCGAAGGCAGCUUACGGGAGCACAACUGACGCUGAAGCUCGAAGGUGCGGGUAUCAAACAGGAUUAGAUACCCUGGUAGUCCGCACAGUAAACGAUGGAUGCCCGUUGUUAGUUCACUUAAGAAUUAGCGACCAAGCGAAAGCAUUAAGCAUCCUACCUGGGGAGUACGCCGGCAACGGUGAAACUCAAAGGAAUUGACGGGGGCCCGCACAAGCGGAGGAACAUGUGGUUUAAUUCGAUGAUACGCGAGGAACCUUACCCGGGCCUGAA
rnacentral:rRNA from 1 species